UACGUAGGCAGCGAGCGUUGUUCGGAGUUACUGGGCGUAAAGGGUGUGUAGGCGGUUCUCUAAGUUUGGUGUGAAAUCUCCCGGCUCAACCGGGAGGGUGCGCCGAAAACUGGAGGGCUAGAGUGCGGGAAGGGAGAGUAGAAUUCCUGGUGUAGCGGUGAAAUGCGUAGAGAUCCGGAGGAACACCAGUGGCGAAGGCGACACGCUGGGCCGUACCUGACACUGAGGCGCGAUAGCAUGGGGAGCAAACAGG
rnacentral:rRNA from 1 species